GGAAACAAUUGCUUCGUGUACUUGCUUGGCAAACAGUCUUGCACAGUCUUUCGCAAGAAAAGCGACUAUAGAAAUACAUUCGCAUAAAUGCAUGUAACCAUUUGCAUGUGAGGUGACACUGAAAUAUUGAUCACAGAAUUUGCUUGGAAUUCAUAAGCUUGCUGUAUCUACGUCCACUUAAUGAGCUUGUCCACUUGAAGGUGGUUGGCAGUUAUCACUUGCCCAUGUCGGCUUGUGUAUUCAGUCAAGUUCAACCUGAGAGCAGAGAGUCCACGUGACCUUGUGGAUCUCUUGCUGUCUUGGAAACACUUUCCCAAUGUGUCAGUGUGUGAUUAUGCCAGGGGGCUGCCACAGCACGCUCACCGCAGGUAGCUAGGAAUAUUUGCCCCUUUUUCGAGGAAGGUUAGUGGCUUCCAUCCCAGAGAAGGUGAAGCUGGCCUCACAGGCCAAGGUUCGUGUCAACAUGCAACAGCUUAAGUUUCCGAAGAUGACAGCUGCCAUAGAUGGGCACCGUCUCACUGGGUCCUCACAGCAUUUUGCUUUGAAUGAUGUUUUGCGCCAGGGAAAGAGCAAAGACCCGAGUGAGGUUCUGAGAAAGCUUGAGCUUGUGCCAGAGCUUGCUGUGGUAUUAUUAUUCACAGCCAGUGUGCGGAGCGGCUCUUUUCUGGCAUGAGGAAGAACAAUGACUUUUUCAGUCUAACAACCCCAUCAACACACAUAUUUCGACGAUGAAACAUUCUCCAUCAUUACAACGUGGCAAGGAACCAAAAAAAUGAAAAAACAGUUCAGAACCAUUGUUUGUCCAGAUGUUGCAAUGCAGUGUGACAGUUGUGGAAGGGUAGUUUUAGCUCACUCUCCAUCUUGUGCAAUGUCGAUGGCAUCAUCUGGCGAAGAACAGGACAAGUCUCAAGAGUUAAAUGAUGACAGUGAGCAGAGACCUCAUGCAGACUUGACUAGUCUCCACAAGUUGUCAGUACACAGAGCAUGCAGGGCACAGGAACUCCGAGGCAGACAG